rnacentral:pre_miRNA from 1 species
GUUAGAAAUUGCAGAGAAAGUCUGUGGCUGUAAACAUCCCCGACUGGAAGCUGUAAAAUACCUUCAAGCUUUCAGUCAGAUGUUUGCUACCACUGGCAUUUCAGAGUCAUCCACCCGUUUCCCUUUUCUGGC